rnacentral:rRNA from 1 species
ACUUGCUUUCUUUGCUGGCGACCGGCGCACGGGUGAGUAACACGUAUCCAACCUACCCUUUACUCGGGGAUAGCCUUUCGAAAGAAAGAUUAAUACCCGAUGGCAUAGUUCUUCCGCAUGGUAGAACUAUUAAAGAAUUUCGGUCAUCGAUGGGGAUGCGUUCCAUUAGGUUGUUGGCGGGGUAACGGCCCACCAGGCCUUCGAUGGAUAGGGGUUCUGAGAGGAAGGUCCCCCACAUUGGAACUGAGACACGGUCCAAACUCCUACGGGAGGCAGCAUG